rnacentral:rRNA from 1 species
CGCAUCUGUGCAUGCAGCAUAUCAAUAAGCGGAGGAAAAGAAACUAACAAGGAUUCCCCUAGUAACGGCGAGUGAAGCGGGAAGAGCUCAAAUUUGAAAUCUUAAAGGGUUUCCCUUUACGAAUUGUAGUUUAAAGAAGUGUUUUCUGUUGAGGUUUUGGUAAAAGUUCUUUGGAAUAGGACAUCAUAGAGGGUGAGAAUCCCGUAUUUGACCUUUACUUUCAACUUUGUGAUACACUUUCAAAGAGUCGGAUUGUUUGGGAAUGCAGUCCAAAAUGGGUGGUAAAUUUCAUCUAAAGCUAAAUAUUGGCGAGAGACCGAUAGCGAACAAGUACCGUGAGGGAAAGAUGAAAAGAACUUUGAAAAGAGAGUUAAACAGUACGUGAAAUUGUCAAAAGGGAAGCGUUUGACACCAGUGUUGUUUUUCUGAAAAUCAAUUAAAGAACUGUUUAUGCUAAGCUGUUUAGACUUUAUCAGCUAUCUGUUUAGUUUUAGGCUUUUCUUUAAUGCACUUUUCAGUUAACAAGUCAACAUCAAUUUCUUUUGCUGUAAAAAAGCUUGAGGAAGGUGGCUUGAGAUUCGUCUUAAGUGUUUAUAGCCUCUUGCCUAUGCAGUCGGAGAGAUUGAGGUCUGCAGCGUAGAUCCUUCGGGGCUAAAUGCAUUUGUGCUAAGUUAUAGCAUUUUAUAGACAACUUGUUGACUAUGAUUUGUCUUGUAGCUUACUCGCUUAUGUUAUUUUACCUACGCUUAGGAUGUUGAACGCGCACAGAGUCUC